GCACAAGCGGUGGAGCAUGUGGUUUAAUUCGACGCAACGCGAAGAACCUUACCUGGGCUCGAAAUGUUAUGGACCGGGGUAGAAAUAUCCCUUCCCCGCAAGGGGCCGUAAUAUAGGUGCUGCAUGGCUGUCGUCAGCUCGUGUCGUGAGAUGUUGGGUUAAGUCCCGCAACGAGCGCAACCCUUAUCUUCAGUUGCUACCAUUUAGUUGAGCACUCUGACGAAACCGCCUCGGAUAACGGGGAGGAAGGUGGGGAUGACGUCAAGUCCUCAUGGCCUUUAUGUCCAGGGCUACACACGUGCUACAAUGGUCGGUACAAACCGUCGCAAACCCGUGAGGGGGAGCUAAUCGGAAAAAGCCGACCUCAGUUCGGAUUGUAGUCUGCAACUCGACUACAUGAAGCUGGAAUCGCUAGUAAUCGCGGAUCAGAAUGCCGCGGUGAAUACGUUCCCGGGC
rnacentral:rRNA from 1 species